AAUAUUCUAUAAAUUCCCCUGAUCAUUGUCAUGUUGGAACCAACCUUAUUUGAAUUCCCAAAAUGCCCCUAGGAUUUAAUUUAGUGGUCCGGCAUCAAUUAAAUGGACCUUUUCAAUUUCUAAAAAUGGUUAGGUAACUCCUUUUGACCCCAAACUUUUUGUACCCCGCUGCCACAGCCGGACGCGCGCCGCCGCACCCCUCCUGCUCGCCUACUACCGCCGCUCGCCGCGCCGCCGCAUUCCCCUGCCGGGUUGCUACCGCCGGCCGCCUGUUGCCGGUUGCUUGCUCGAGCAGCCAUGGCCGAACGCCCCUAUACGUGCAUGCGUGUGCACACGGCUAAGCCUCUGGCCGGUUCUGUGCAAUUUAAUUAGGGGGCCAAUUCCCCUCUAAUGCUAACCCUCAUCACUAACCACCCAUGACAGAUGGCCCCCCUGGGUUAAGUAACCCUUUGAUUAAAAAUAUGAGUCAAUUACAUGUGGACCCCCACUGCUGUUAGUUAAGUGUUAAAAUUUAUUAAAAUUGCCUAAGUCGAUGACAGCCGGGUCCCACCUGAACUAUUCUCCUUUUGACUAGUCAAUGUUGACUGGGUCAGCCCUGCCACUGGACCCCCACCUGUCAGCCAUGGUGCCAACUUCCUGGGUACACUUCUGUGUACCCAUAGCAUUUACCCUUUUAUUUGUGAAUUAAUAUAUAAUUUCAGGAUAUUGUUUAAAACUUUAGAAAUUCAUAGAUAUUAAUCCGUAACUCAUAUGAAAAAGUUUUAUACAUGAAAGUUGCUUAGAAAAAUAUGACGAAUCCGAAUGCGCGGUCCGUUCGUCCGCCACAUGUCCCUAGAAUAGGAAACAUCGAACCUUUCCCCUCCGUUUCAUUUGUCCGAAAAUGCCAAACUUCAGGGAAACAUCCCCGGAUAUUAUCCCCUUCGCCGGUUUCAUGUAGCACUGCGUUAGAACACCCCUAGCACUACUUAUCAUCUUGUCAUGCUUAGUAUUGCACUUGUUUGCUCUGUAUUUAUUGUUUCUUCCCCCUCUUCUCUCCGGUAGACCUCAAGACCGCUCCUGAUGCCACUGUGAUCGACUACGUCGACGACGACCCUUCUUCCCUUUCAACGGAGCUUCCAGGCAAGCCCCCCCUUUGAUCAUCCCGAUAUCCCCCAUCCCAUUCUCCCAUGCUUGCAUUAGGUUUUGCUACUGUAAUUGAUUGCUCCUAUUCUGAUGCAUAGCCUGCUUUUGUAACCUGCUAUUGUACCUUACCUGCUUAUCCUAAACUGCCUAGUAUAGGUUGGUUAGUGAUCCAUCAGUGACCCCCAUCUUGUCCUUGUUGCCCUGCUUCAUCAUCGACGACUCGAUCAACGUGAUAGAUGACCAGACCCGACACAUCACAUCACACCCCUUUUGUUGCUCGACUCUGCAGAGUAACCAUCGAGUGCCGAGGGUGGUACCUCAUACAUCACUCCUGAUGAGAUCUCUGUAGUGUAGCUAUUCGGUCAUGGUCAUCGAGGGUGAUUCCUCAUUAACCAUUUCCGAUACGACUCUGUCGUGCAACCCCUCAAGUGUGAACCUCGAGGGUGGUUCCUCUUACGUUCACCUUGAUGAUUACAUCGAGUGGAAUCCAUCGAGGGUGAUUCCUCAUUUCCCCUUGAUGUUUGGACACACGGUUACCUUGACUUUACUUGAGACCUUUGUGAAACUCGGGCGGGCCCGGAGAGCACCCGCAAGAUGGUUACGAGGCACGGCCGGGCAGGCAGGCCGCCCCCAAGUGGGCUGGGCUAGCCCUUGCCGUAUUUCCUCGAGACGGGGCGACGGGGUCACAUUAUCGUGAGUCUCUGCUCGUCUCCGCAAGCUAAUAAUACACUAUGGUUUGGGUAUUUGUUCUGAGUUGGCCUUUGGCCUUUACGCACUAACCACCACACGAGAAUAGUUAUGGGCCUCGACGACGCAAUAUCAGCCGAAGCUUUGUUAGACAUCCAGUUCAGCAUUGCGGCACGGCUGGGCUGGCACCAUCCAUGUAGAGGUGGAGCCUGGACUCGCCCUGCUCGCAACGACCCGGAGUGCAACGGGCGAUGCGCCCAGACCCCGGAGUGCUUAGGAUGUAGACCGGCGGGGACCUCUCUGCUGAGCCUAGGUAGGGCUACGACGUGUUGAUUUUUCGAGGCCGGGCAUGGACCCAGAAAUAAAGUGUAUCCGGCCAGAGUAAUCAAGCGUAUUGGAAAACAUGGUGCACCCCUGCAGGGAAGAUUAUCUAUUAAUAGCCGUGUCCAUGGUAACGGACGUUCAGACUUAUAUCUCGAUCUUUUACAAGUAGAAAUGGAUACUUGAGAUAUGUGGCUCCGGGGUUGCUUUCUCGCAGGGAGUCGAGGAAGGAUCUCUGGGCAUUAAGCUUAAAACAUGCUUGUUAAUUAUAAACUGCUAUUCUUUACUCUUCUACAUGCUGCAAGAUGCUUGGAGCUGGUUGAAGAUGCUAGUUUUUGAUAGGCUAGGCCUUCCCCUCUAUUCUGGCAUUCUGCAGUUUAGUCCACAGAUACAACCCUUCUAGUUGAUACCAAUGCAUACUUAGUCUAGAUCUGAUGCUUGCGAGUACUUUGGAUGAGUACUCACGGUUGCUUUGCUACCCAUUUUCCCCCUUCUUCCUUCUUUCCGGUUGCUGCAACCAGAUGGUGGAUCCCUGGGAUCAAGGAGUAGUUAGGAGAUCCCAGGCAGGAGGCCUUGCCUCUUCGAUCGUUGUUGCUUUUGUGCUUGCCUUCUUAAGGCAGCUUUGUUUAACCUUAUGUCUGUACUCAGAUAUUGUUGCUUCCUCUGACUCUUGUGUAUCGAGCUUGUAUUAGAGCCCUCGAGUCCCCUAUCUUGUUUUAUAAAGCUUGUAUUAUUUUAAUUGGUGUCUAGAGUUGUGUUGUGAUAUCUUCCCGUGAGUCCCUGAUCUUGAUCGUACACAUUUGCAUGUAUGAUUAGUGUACGGUCGAAUCGGGGGCGUCACAAGUUGGUAUCAGAGCCGACUGCCUGUAGGAUCCCCCUUUCCAACUCCUUGGCCGAAGUUGAGUCUAGUCUUUGGAAAACUGUUUUACUAACAUGGUUGUGUGGCUUACUGGCCCACGUCGCCAUUGGGUGGUAUUAGGAUCUUUUAAUCCUCAUCUAUACUCUAGGAUUCUGAUCCCUCUUCUAUUCGGGUUAAAUGGAUUUGCUAACUCUAACUCUAGGUUCUCGUGAAUACUUUCUUCCGGAGAGCCCCUUCAUUCUAGAUGAUCGCCUGUUUCACCUGAAGAUUCUGAAGAUACUCUCCGAUGUUUUCCCGAGACUUUUGUGCCCUUCGCUUUUGCAAUUCUCUACCACUGACAAGUCCCUAUGGAUAACUACAUACACCUUCCAUUCAUAUAAUCAUUCCCCGUUUAUCUUAUUAUUACAAGAUACCCUAACAUUCUCCUUAUUGUUCCGAGAAUCCUUUGAACCUACUGCCUUGCAGUUCUUUGCCACAUGAAUACCCCUACGGAUAAUUACUCGCGCUUGCCGAGUAUCCGUUCAUCCACAGAUCAUGUGUUUCACAAAAUUCUUUGGAAUACUAUCCGAUCUUCCGAUGAUCCUCUCCAACUAUUGCUCUGCAAAUACUUGUAUGCUUGCAUUAUGGAUACUUUCCAUAUGUCUGGCAAUAUUCGGUAGUAUCCUUUCUCAUCUUUAUUUUUAACAUCUGAUUUGAUAUGUUUGUAAAUGCUCGCAAUCAUCAAUCACAAUUAGAAUUCUUCCCAUCAGCUCAGACGUCACCCCGGACAUGAGCUGGUGUUCAACAAAUCAAGCCUUGAUUAUUCAACUUACUUGUCUUGGAUCAGAGCCUCUGCUUCUGAUCCACCGUUUUGGAAAUAAUAAUUCCUUUGCAUUUGAGCUUUGAAUUAGUCAGUUGUUUCUAUAAUCUGAUAUCCUUGCAUUCUUUCUUCUUCUUGGUCAGUACCGAUACUCACAUCAAAUCCCUUGUGGACCACAAGUUCCCUUGUUGGAUUUUAUCCGAUAACGUCCUUCAUAUUCAAUCACCUUGUGAGCUUUUCCUUGGAUACAUAAUGCCUUUGGUAAAUUGUAUCUUCUGCCUCCUCAAUCAUGCUCUACUCUGAGCUUGAGUUAUCUAAUCAUGAAGUUUGACUCUACAACUUCGUCAAAGAUGAGAAGUAAAUGGAAGGUCAUGCAUUGAUGAAGUGGGAGUCGACCUUGAACCUUUAUGUUCAUGCCCAUGGACCCGAUGUGGAACUUAUCAUGGAAGCUUCUUGGUAUAAUAUUAAUCCCCUUGUGAUAAGUUCAUCUUGUAUCUAUGUUUGGUCCUUUGCAACCGUGGUUCCGACCAUAUUGUUCUUCUUUGAUCCCCUUUCUCGGACAAGUUAAAGUACUUGUCUUCUGCAGAUCUUUUCACCUGCCCAACCUCUAUUCUUCUCUACCCUCGAGUAUUACCCUCUAGUAUCUCGAUAAUAUCAUGAAACCAAAUAACUUCUUAUGAGUUCUUCAUCUACUAUUAUUUCUCGACAAUUCCAAUUCUCCAUGGGUUCUGAGUUGUUAGACACUCCAGAACACCGAUAAUUGUUUGAAUCUACACUCGUCUUUCCAUUGUUUUGUGUAACCUUCUUGUAACCUAACAUAUCUGAGCAGUGAUAAUUCCUUGCUUAUGUAAACACCUCUGUGUACAAACUCUGUCAGUAAGACCUUAUUACUAUUGUUGAUGACAUUCCGGUAGCCACCGAUGGAUGAGAACUUUGCCUAUUGGCCCGCCUCGUUCAACGAGUAGCAAAAUGGUUCUCUUUGUCCCUCGCCCUUGGUACCAACGUUGUUGCCAACAUAACUGACAGUCUAUGCUCUGACAUGCCUUGCUAUCAUCGCUUUUCCUACUUUUAGCCCACAUGGUGGGCCCAUAACCCACAGUUCCACAUGAUCGAAACCUGACUCUCCUGUACAUCCCUAUCUUCCAAAAUUGUUCCUCACGCUUGGUUUCGUAUGUAAUUCACGAGCCACCUUCUUGUGAUAUAUUCUGAUACCAGAUGCAAUAGUUCUUCUCGAUGCUCUAAACCCCUUUCACACUCUGUUUCAGGCAACGAACGAUUGCCUUCCCGGUUGAAGCUUCUUAUUGCACCUUCUUGCCUUGCUCUCGAUGACUUUCUUAAAUUUCAACUCAAGAGAUGCCUUUAUGCCACGUUCACCGAGAUAGUCCCCAGGUACCUACUUGUGUUGAGCUCUGUCUUUCCCGAGUCUUUCCCCCUUACUCCACCCCUUAAAUCUCGGGACGAGACUUCUUGUAGUGGAGGAGAAUUGUAACGCCCAGAUACUUAAGCUACAGUAACUCUCUACUAAUGAUGCCACGUCAUCACAUUACUGUUGCUAUUCCUCAUUUGAUUCAAAUCACUAUUCAAAUUCAAAUUCAAACUUGUCAAACAUCAAAGCUAAAAUGUUCACAAUAUUCUAUAAAUUCCCUUGAUCAUUGUCAUGUUGGAACCAACCUUAUUUGACUUCCCAAAAUGCCCCUGGGAUUUAAUUUAGUGGUCCAGCAUCAAUUAAAUGGACCUUUUCAAUUUCUAAAAAAUGUUAGGUAACUCCUUUUGACCCCAAACUUUUUGUGCCACCGUAAAAUUUUGUGCUUGAUUUAUGUGCCAAGUUUCAGUUAUAGAAAAAAUCGUUUGCUACAUGAUCUAAAUGCAAAAGAGUGGUGGAAAUAUUACAUGAAAUAAAAAGGAAAAA
rnacentral:lncRNA from 1 species